CCUGUCUGGUGAUGUUGAGAGAAAGGACGGACUGAUUUUUUCCCUUUUCUUUCCCAGGUUUGGAGUAGUUGCUGCCUGUUCCCGAAGAGGGGAGCUGUAAGGCUUCAAGGUGAGUUAAAGCAAUGAAGGAGAGACCUGAAUGCAAAAGGGGCGAAGAAAGAGAGAAACGGCAGGAAAGGCAAGGAAUCCGCGGCUGGCUGGAGAGAGGAAGGAGGUUGGAAGGAUUGAGAGACGUCCCAUCUGGUUCCUUUCCAUUAUGUGCAGUCAACUGUGAGGAUGUAGUUCAUUGGGGAGUUCAUGCUUUCCAUGCAGAAGAUCUCAGGUUCAAUUUUGGCCACUCCAAUUUAAAGGAUAAGAAGUGCCCUGCUGGAUCAGACCAAAAGGCGAUUCUAGUCCAGCAACUUGUUCCCACGCUGGUCAAUCAGCAAGCCUCUGAGAAGUCCACAAGCAGGACAUGAAUGCAAUACCUCUCCUCCCCUCCGAAAAUAUGGGGUCUCAGUGCAGUGUGAUUUCAAAUAACUUCACAACAUGGCUGUUAACUGCCCUCAGUUGUGCUUGCCUGUGAGAAGCUUUUGUGCUUAUCUUGAGUCCUGUGUUAGCACUGCAGAAAGCAGCUACUGCCUAAAAUGCUGAUUGCUCCAUUUUUAUCACUCUUGUGUUUCUUGCUCUGAGGAUCUAAUACGGGAACUGUGGAUAUGAUGAGAAGAAGGGCUCAUCUACAGAUCUCUCUCAAAAAGCAGGCACAUGCCUUUGGUAAGGUACAUUCCCGGAGAGGAGAACCGCAACUGGAAAGCUUCAAGGAUCAGGAAUAACAAGGGAGGACCUGGCGGGAAGCAAAGUGGAGGAGAAUUUGGAAGCAGGUGGAAGAAGAGACUUCCAUGUUGCUUAGUUUGGGACCAUUUGAUUGGGACAGAUCCACAAGAAAUUAAGCAGGAACCAGAUGAGGGGCUCCAGCAGGGUGGGAAGCCUAGUGGCAGGUGUUCCUGGAGACAACAUAGGGCCCUAGGCACAGAGACAAAAACUCAUCGCUGCCUCGAUCCCAGUCAGGAUUGAGAACACUAAAGACUUCCUGUCCACCUUGAUAGGAGUAGCUGGUGCCAGGCUGCGGCCUAGGGGGGAAAAGGUGACCCAGGCCUUGGAAGGCAUCAGUGGAGAAACCCAAGAGGCCCAUGAAAAGCCAGAUUCUAUGGUGGAAGUGAAGAAAGAGAGUCUGGAGGAGGAGGAAGACUCAAAGAUGGAACAUCAGCAUUCCAGGCACUUUGGAUACCAUGCGAGCAAGGGAUCCCAUUUGGACAGGAACUUUGGGUAUUUGGGGCUGAAGCCAGGGAGAUCUACAAAGCAGAGCCUGGGGGAUGCUGAAUUCUGGACCGGUUCAAUCUCGCUGUCCAUCUUGAGCCACUACACUAGCUACACCCAAGGGCCUCCAUUUGCAUUAUGCCAGGAUGCCCAUCAUGUAGAGCCUCCCACACAUGAUGUCUCAACGCAGUGGGAAUCAUAGAAUAGUAGAGUUGGAGGGGGCCUAUAAGGCCAUCAAGUCCAACCCUCUGCUCAAUGCAGGAAUCCAAAUCAAAGCAUUCCCGACAGAUGGCUGUCCAGCUGCCUCUUGAAUGCCUCCAGUUUCGGAGAGCCCACUACCUCUCUAGGUAAUUGGUUCCAUUGUUGUAUGGCUCUAACAGUUAGGAAGUUUUUCUUGAUGUCCAGUCGAAAUCUGGCUUCUUGCAACUUGAGCCCAUUAUUCCGUCUCCUGCAUUCUGGGACAAUCGAGAAGAGAUCCCGGCCCUCCUCUGUGUGACAACCUUUCAUGUACUUGAAGAGUGCUAUCAUAUCUCCUCUCAGUCUUCUCCAGGCUAAACGUGCCCAGUUCUUUCAGUCUCUCAUAGAGAUUUGUUUCCAGUCCCCUGAUCAUCCUUGUUGCCCUUUUCUGAACCUGUUCCAGUUUGUUUGCAUCCUUCUUGAAGCGCGGAGAAAUGAACUGGACUCAGUACUCAAGAUGAGGCCUAACCAGUGCUGAAUAGAAGGGAACUAAUACUUCACAUGUAUGAGUACUCUGUUUGCCCAGAGGGAGAGGGUGCCCCAGACCUUGGCAGGUGUCAUUGGAGAACACCAAGUGGCCUAUGAAAGCCUGGAUUUUACUGUGGAAGUGAAGGCGGAGACUCUGGAUGAUAUAAAUAGAGGUGCAACAUGCAUCAGUAUGUACACAUUCAAUAAGACGUUGAGAGUGGAGGCUGUGGGAGCCCAGUGUUAGCAGGAGAAGAAAUAUGCAAGGACUUAAUGAUCAAAGGAGAUUCCACAUCUUCCUGCGUAUUGCUAUCCGAAGUAUGCAACCUGGCCCUCAUAGAGUUGGUGAUCAAAGGAGAUUCCACAUCUUCCUGCGUAUUGCUAUCCGAAGUAUGCAACCUGGCCCUCAUAGAGUUGGUGGUCAAGGUGGAUCCCCGGCAGUUCCGUAUUUUACUUUUCAGAGUCGAUGGCCAAGAUGGAUCCAUUUCCAAGGCUACAGCAUGUUUUACCAUGCAAUCAGGAUGUUUCACUGUUGGUGAUUGUACUUUUAGGAAGUUCUGCUCCUGUCCAGGCCGAGAUCCGGUUAGAGAUAAACUGAGCCCCUUCGGGAGAGCUUUUGGAAACCUUGGACCAGAGCAAUGCCAAUGAAGAAUCAACUUUAUGCUGAAAUCAAUGCUUUGCUUCUAUUACUUGUUCAAUCCACAAUGUCUGAGGCUAAGCAAAGAGGAAAGCUGCAAGCACUUCUAUGCAAAGUCUUUACCAUUCUCCUUCCAAAACUCAGGGAACUCCAGGAGCAAUAGAAUCAUGUAACGUUGCCUUAUCGUUAUUUUGAUGGUUAUUUCAGUCCAUUCCAAUUCAGUGGGAUUUCCUCGAGUCCUGUAUAAAAGGGCUUUUAGGGGGGGAAAUAGAAAUGAGACACAUUAUUUAUCCCAAUCCGGGUGCAGGUCUGGUUUGGGGACUACCUUAGUGGAUGACUUGUGGAGGUGCAUCCUUUUUGGACUUAGUGGAUUCCAUACCAUUGGCCAAAGCGUCCUUCUUGGGCAUCUGUCUGGAAGAGGAAAUGGAAGGAAAUAGGAAGCUACCUUAUACCGAGUCAUACCAUUGGUCAAUGUUGUCUACGGUACACUGACUGGCAGCGGCUCUCUGGGGUUUCAUACAGGGAGUCAUUCUCAACCUUACCUGGCAAUGCCAGGACCAAACCUGGGACCUUCUGCAUGCAAAGCAGCUGCUGUACCACUGAGCCGUGGUGGUUCCAUCUGACAGAUCCCAGAAGAUGAGGCCCCGUGGCCAAUGCCCUCGAGGUUCAUUUGGGUUCCAUACUGACCCCUGUACUAUUUAACAUCAACAUGGAACCACUUGGAGAGGUCUUUUGGGGAUUUGAUCCCAUGAACAUGUUGACGACACACAGCUCUCCUUUUGCUUUCCAUUCUAUGCAAAGAAAGCUGUAAAGGUUCAGAUUCUAUGUUUGAGCACAGUGGUGGGAUUGUGCGUUGGCUAACAAACAGACUUAAUUCAUACAAGACAUACAAGACAGUUGGUCCGUAGGAAAGCUGAUCCAGAAUUAAGCAUACAACCUACAGUGGAUUGGAUUGCACUCUCUUUGAAGUUUGGGGGGGGGUUACAAUUGGAUCUGUCUUUCUGUUUGAAAAUAAUGAGUCAGAAAAAUAAACUCUGGAUGGGUUAUGUGUGUAUGUGCUCACUCCUCCCCCAACUCAUAUUUAGCAAUAGACCAAAGCAAGCUCACAUGUGGUCUUUCCACUAGGUGGAGACAGUAUUCUGUAUAUUCAUGUGAUGCAAAUGGAGUGUGUUGUUGCCCAAUUGUAUGUCAUGAUCGCUGCUUUUUACAAUCAAAUCCCAAUGUUAAUACACAGCCUGAACAACUGCAAUGUAACAUACUGAAUUUGCGCUAUUGUAGUUUCUAUGAGUAAGUAAAAUGAUGUAUGUUAAUAUUUAUAUCUUAUAUUUUCUACUUGCAAACGCUGGAUUUUGCAACCCAGCCCCCCCCUUUAUUGGGCUCUAAGAAAAUUCUUGCUCUUAAAAGAGGAAUUAUUUUUCAAAAACCUUUAUUGCUGGAACUUCUGCUGACCUCAGUGACCCAGAGAUGGUGGUGGGUCUGUAGCAGUUCUUGGUCACUUAGAUUCUGUUUUUCUGUUGUGGUUUCUUUUUAUAUCUUUAAGCUCAGAUGUGAAUUUUCAGUGGACCUUAGUGUGUGUGCGGAUAGAUGCAAUGUGGUUAUAAAUUUCUACAUGCCAAGGUUGCUCCUUAGGAUAUAUACCACUGGAAUGUUACAAACACUUUAUGUUGUCCUUCUCAUCAAAUAACCUGUUUCAACGUUUACCUUCUUGGAGGGGGGUUUACAUCUGUGCCCUUUCAUGGAAGGAGCAUUAAUACUGUGACAGAACACUUACGGGGCAACAUUGCAAAAUAUAAUCUUUUUGUCACAUGCUUUUUCUUUACAAAAAUAAAAUGGUUCUCUCUUGCCAA